rnacentral:rRNA from 1 species
GACGAACGCUGGCGGCGUGCUUAACACAUGCAAGUCGAACGGAGUGGCGAACGGGUGAGUAACACGUGGGUGAUCUGCCUUGCACUUCGGGAUAAGCUUGGGAAACUGGGUCUAAUACCGGAUAGUGCAAGAUGAGCUCGCGGCCGAUCAGCUUGUCGGUGGGGUAAUGGCCUACCAAGGCGUCGACGGGUAGCCGGCCUGGGAGGGUGUACGGCGACAUUGGGACUAGGAGACGGACCAGACGCGUACGGGAGGCAGCAGUGGGGAAUAUUGCACAAUGAGGGGGAGCCGGAUGCGGCGACGCCGCGUGGGGGAUGAAGGCCUUCGGGUUGUAAACUCCUUUCGACAGGGACGCGGUACCUGUAUAAGAAGCACCGGCUAACUACGUGCCAGCCGCCGCGGUAAUAC